AAAAAAAAACGAAUUUUCGUAAGACGAAAAAACCUAGCGAAAAACGAACAACGGUAUUAUAUUAUAAUGUUAUGAUACCGUCGGAGAAAAAUACGACGACAAACAAAACGGCCAAUACGCGCUAUUAUGUUCUAUUAUUAUAAUAUAUAAUAUUAUAGUGUGUAGUCUGCCGUUGAUUUGAAAAUGUUUUCUUAAUUUUGUUUUAUUAUUUUUUUUUUCUCGAGUGCCACUUUAAAUCUCCUCGUCAUACGCAUAUACGACUCGUUGUUAUAUACGCUGCACGCCGAUAAGCACAUCCGUGUGUGCUGUGUGCGUGUAGGUGUAUACAUUGUAAUCGGAUUUAAUACACGCCCUUGGUUUUAUUUUAUGAUAUUAUUACUAUUAUAUUUCGUAUACUUUUACAUAUAUAUAUAGUUACCGUUAACUGAAAACAUAUUUUUUUGAUAACCGUACUUUUCAAGAUUUUAUAGCCUCUG